GGGAAUUGAAGCAUCGUUUGGGCGCGUAAAUGGAGUUGUGAAAACGGCUACUGGAUAUUGUGGAGGAACUGUUCGAAAAGCUUCGCAUAGAGAGAUGAAGAAAACUGAAAACUUGAAACGCCAUCUCAAAAUCCUUCCACUUGUCACUGAAAAAAAAAAAUCUUCGUUAGCGCUUCCUGAUUAGUGAUUUGCAGGUUCUUGAAGGAAUUACAGGCCACACUGAAGCUGUUAAAGUCGUACAUGAUACGCAACAGAUAUCUUACCAGUCUCUCUGUGAUGAAUUCUGGAAAAUCCACGAUCCCACUAAAAGAGAAUAUCUGAAUUUUGAGGUUGGUACACAUUAUCGAUCUAUCAUCUUCUACGCAAGCGAGGAACAGAGGAAGCAAGCCCAGAAGUCAAAGAUCAGGAGGCAGAUGAAGCUUGACAAGAGGAUUGUGACCAAGAUAAUUUCUUUGGAUUAUUCAGAUUUCUUCCUUGCAGAGAACCAGCAUGAGAAGUACAGAACAGUUCACUAAUUCAUCUACAGGAGCUAAAUUGAAUAAGAUAUUAGCUCUGGGUGGAGAGGCAGCUGUAGACGAAUUGGAGAGAUUUCUGAGGAAGUGCUGAGUUGCCCGAGCAAACCCAGUUUGUCUGUGAAGAAAUAAUUGAAGAUAUGGGUGGAAAUGAAGCACAAGGAAAUAUUAAAUUACGAUUUAGAGAGCUUGGGUUGGCCAAAGGAUGAGGCUUAGGUUUUUUUUUUCCUUUUUUCUCAAAAGCCAGAAGAGAAUUGCUACUUCUGUAAUGGCUUGGGCCUGUUUGAAUUGACGACUGGGUGAGUAUUUCUUUUUUGGUAACCGACUGGAUGACAAUCACAAUUAGCAUUUGCCUUCAAGAUAAUUAACCUCAGUAGGGUUGAAAGUUCACAUUAGCUAAC